rnacentral:rRNA from 1 species
GUCUGAGAGGAUGAUCAGCCACACUGGAACUGAGACACGGUCCAGACUCCUACGGGAGGCAGCAGUGGGGAAUAUUGCACAAUGGGCGCAAGCCUGAUGCAGCCAUGCCGCGUGUGUGAAGAAGGCCUUCGGGUUGUAAAGCACUUUCAGUCGUGAGGAAGGUAGUGUAGUUAAUAGCUGCAUUAUUUGACGUUAGCGACAGAAGAAGCACCGGCUAACUCCGUGCCAGCAGCCGCGGUAAUACGGAGGGUGCGAGCGUUAAUCGGAAUUACUGGGCGUAAAGCGCAUGCAGGUGGUUUGUUAAGUCAGAUGUGAAAGCCCGGGGCUCAACCUCGGAAUAGCAUUUGAAACUGGCAGACUAGAGUACUGUAGAGGGGGGUAGAAUUUCAGGUGUAGCGGUGAAAUGCGUAGAGAUCUGAAGGAAUACCGGUGGCGAAGGCGGCCCCCUGGACAGAUACUGACACUCAGAUGCGAAAGCGU